UUUCCGUAGGUGAACCUGCGGAAGGAUCAUUGUCGUUGUCUUACAAAAACAUGACCAUGGCGCACGAGUCACAGAAAAGCUGCCGGGGGGGCUUUGCCCCGCCGGCCCACCGGCACCGGCAGUCUCCCCCUUCGGGGGGUGUGUUGCCUGUGUGCCGAACACGGCGUGGGUUGACGCCAAGGAACAAGAGAUGCUGAGGCGGCCGGCGGAGCGCUGUGGUGCCCCGCAGGGCGCCGAUGCGAAUGAACACAAUGAUGACUCUCGGCAACGGAUAUCUCGGCUCUCGCAUCGAUGAAGAACGUAGCGAAAUGCGAUACGUGGUGUGAAUUGCAGAAUCCCGCGAACCAUCGAGUCUUUGAACGCAAGUUGCGCCCGAGGGACCCGCCCGAGGGCACGCCUGCCUCAUGGGCGUUAGAAGCCCAUCACGCUCGAGGCGUCUAUGCCCCGAUGCGGAGCCUGGCUCUCCGAGCCCCACGGCACGGUGGGCCUAAGAGUACGGCCGUCGGAUGGGGCCGGGAGCGGCGAGUGGUGGUCUACUUCGCACGCCGCCCCGCACCCAUUGCCGGCAGAGGGCCUUGUACGACCCCCCGAACGAGGAGACGGCCGUAUAGCGUACCGCUGUGCGGCCACUUCGGACCGAUACCCCAGGUCAGGCGGGGCUACCCGCUGAGUUUAAGCAUAUAAAUAAGC
rnacentral:rRNA from 2 species